rnacentral:ncRNA from 3 species
UACGGAGGGUGCAAGCGUUGUCCGGAUUUAUUGGGUUUAAAGGGUGCGUAGGCGGCCCGUUAAGUCAGUGGUGAAAGCCUCCAGCUCAACUGGAGAACUGCCAUUGAUACUGGCGGGCUUGAGUACAGACGAGGUUGGCGGAAUUGAUUGUGUAGCGGUGAAAUGCAUAGAUACAAUCAAGAACACCGAUUGCGUAGGCAGCUAACUAGGCUGUAACUGACGCUGAGGCACGAAAGCGUGGGGAGCGAACAGG